rnacentral:rRNA from 1 species
AACGAACGCUGGCGGCAUGCCUAACACAUGCAAGUCGAACGAGACCUUCGGGUCUAGUGGCGCACGGGUGCGUAACGCGUGGGAAUCUGCCCUUGGGUUCGGAAUAACUCAGAGAAAUUUGAGCUAAUACCGGAUGAUGACGUAAGUCCAAAGAUUUAUCGCCCAGGGAUGAGCCCGCGUAGGAUUAGCUUGUUGGUGAGGUAAAGGCUCACCAAGGCGACGAUCCUUAGCUGGUCUGAGAGGAUGAUCAGCCACACUGGGACUGAGACACGGCCCGGACACCUACGGGAGGCAGCAGUGGGGAAUAUUGGACGAUGGGCGAAAGCCUGAUCCAGCAAUGCCGCGUGAGUGAUGAAGGCCUUAGGGUUGUAAAGCUCUUUUACCCGGGAUGAUAAUGACAGUACCGGGAGAAUAAGCCCCGGCUAACUCCGUGCCAGCAGCCGCCGUAAAAC